UGUCAACGUUAACAGUUUCAGGGAACGAAUUAAUGGUGCCCCCCCGACGUUGCGUAAGAGACGAUAUCUUCCACCCAGAAAUAUGCCAGAGAUGCUAAAACCCAUGAUUUUUUUUCAGCUUUCUCAGGUCAUGUAAGAUUGACUGGUUAAAUUCCACAUAUAGCGUAUGUCAGCAAGUAAAAGCCCCAGCCAGUAAACAUUUUGACCCCAAAGAGACAACCACCACACUGACAGGAGGUGCAAGCAAGAAUAACUUUAUGUUACAUAGCAUGCACCAUGAUAUCUACAUCAACAUGAAGUUAAAAUACUUAUCUUAAUGAAAACAGAUUACCAACAGUUCUAGUUUCUAACAUGCCAGCACAAUUAGAGAUUAAGAUACAAUUGACUGAUUGAUGGUUACAAGGAAAGAAGAUGAUCCACAACAUGAAGUUCAUUUAGUAGGAAGAAAAAAUAACAUGAAAAUUAACAGAACCUAGCACACUGAGAGAGAAUGUUUACAAGAGAUUACCUAUGACUCUAUCUCAAGCAUUACCUAAAGAGGAAAUGGUAAAGAAUAAACUAAUUCUUACAUUACAUCCUGCGGUCUUAUAUAAUCUUCCAAGGUGAAAGAUUUUUACAUCUUUCUGCUCAUACACCCUAUCCCUCUCCUUAUACGCAGGUUUAUGAAUAUAUUGAAAUGACUCAAAUCAGUUGAACAAGAAACUAAUAUUAUUUAACUUUUUAGAUCCUACUCUCUAGAGAUUUAAGAUACGCGCGGUUGUUUCUUUGUUCUGAAUAGGAAUAGUCCCUCAUUCACUCAUGCAAUAUUGGUUACACACAGGAUGCUAACUCAAACUCGAACUCAUUACUGUAUAAGAAAUGCAAAUUUUGAUAGCCGAGUGUAAGGUGCUAGCUUAGCUUUAUAUUUUGGUGUUAAAAGUAACUACAUUUGUAACCACUCAAUUCAUGAACAAUAUCACAUAGCUUCAUAACAAUUCAUUCAAAUGAAGUUCAUAAUCAAGCAAUUAAACUCACGGCAUAAACCAAAAUGAAAAAACAAGACCAGUGCUACAAGCCUACAAGUCAACCAUAAAUUUUCCAACAUCAUGCAUUAUCAUCCAUAACAAGCAGAAACAAAGAAUGAACACAGCAGAAGUAAUAUCAGAUAGAAAAACGAUUAAAUUAAAGUAUUACCAUAUAAAAUGUGCUCUUAGCUUCAGCUCACAAACAGGGAAAAGUUCAAAAUCUUU
rnacentral:lncRNA from 1 species